rnacentral:misc_RNA from 1 species
GAUGAAGAACGCAGCGAAAUGCGAUAAGUAAUGUGAAUUGCAGAAUUCAGUGAAUCAUCGAAUCUUUGAACGCACAUUGCGCCCGCCAGUAUUCUGGCGGGCAUGCCUGUCCGAGCGUCAUUUCAACCAUCAAGCCCCGGGCUUGUGUUGGGGACCUGCGUCCGACGCAGGCCCUGAAAACCAGUGGCGGGCUCGCUGUCCACACCGAGCGUAGUAACUAACCUCGCUAUGGAGUGGCGCGGGCGCCUGCCGUAAAACCCCCAAUUUCACAAGGUUGACCUCGGAUCAGGUAGGAAUACCCGCUGAACUUUAGCAUAUCAAUAAGCGGAGGA